UGGGCUGUGUUCGGAUCCAUGGAAGGAAGAUUCUAGAACACAGGCCACACAGAACAGCUCUGCCUUCUAGGCAAGGAACUUGGCUAUUAUCUCUCACAUCUGCUGGCUGCACAUUUCUAGAGAGGAGGUUUUUUUCUUUUCUUUUUUUUUCCCUUUAAAGCAAGAUGGUUCUUGUCCUCAGAGGCAGUUUUCUGGGGAAGGGGCAGCUGUGAGACAUUGUCAGACUGUCUACAGCUCCAGGUGUGAUUAGGAUCAUUGCUAGGCCAAUUAUCUGAGCCACAGGGUUCAGGAACAGAGUGAGGGUACAGUGGAGGGAAAGGCUAGGAAGAGAGAAGAGGCCGAUGCUAAGAUCACUGACUUAGAAAUUGGUAUUUCCUAAGACUCCCCAGAACUGGAUAGGACAGAAGGCCUGGGGAACCAACCACAUUGUGCCUUUUUUAUGUCCCUCUCCACUUAUCUCCUUUAGGGUCUCUCCUAGGUUUCAGCUGCUGGGACGAACAAAGGCGAAGAGGAAGACAGGUUUGAUGCUGUCCUCAGGGCCGUAAUAACCAUCCCCAAGCCCCAGGCUGUCCAGAGAAUUCUUCUCUAACUGUCUAAGGCUGUAGAGGGAGUAGCCAGCUGUGUUGAGUGCUCCUGGAGAAGAAGUGGGCAUGGUGUUCCCACCCUGAAAUGCUGGGAAGCAUGCCGUUUACCGGUCUCUCAGGGCGGCGUGCAAACUCCUGCUCUCGGCCGUGAGUCAGCAGAGAUGGGAAUGUUCACUUAUUUGCACAAACAUAUGUCAACAGUGCUUUCAAAAACAACCCACUCUUCUUAUCAUACCACAAAGGAAAUAUUAAUUCUUGUUAGUCUUCAGCGUAGCUCACAUAGCAGUCUGUUGCUGGGAAUGGACUUAGUACACUCCCACGUGAGAAAAUAGAGGUUCGGAGAAGUGGCUUGACCAAGCACACAGAGUUAAUUAAUGGCAAAAACUUAGUGUUACUCCUCUCUUUCUCUCUUUCUCUCUGUCUCUGCCUUUCUCUUUGUGUCUCUCUCUGUCUCUUUCUAUCUGUCUCUGUCUAUCUGCCUCUUUGUUUCUCUCUGCCUCUCUGUGUUGGUCUUUCUGUCUUUCUGCCUCUCUAUGUCUGUCUCUCUGCCUCUCUGUCUCUCUGUCUCUGCCUCUCUGUGUGUCUCUUUCUCUCUGUCUCUCUCUCUGUCUCUCUCUGUCUCUCUGUCUCUCUCUGUCUCUCUCUGUCUCUCUCUGUCUCUCUCUCUCUCUCUCUCUCUCUCUCUCUCUCUCUCUCUCUCUCCUCUCUCUUGUCACACUGGGGACUGAACCUCAUGCAAGUUUUACCACAUAGUUAUAUCCCCAGACCUUUUCAUGCUUUUUGCUUUUGCACAAAGUUUAGCUAAAGUUCCCAGGCUGUCCCUGAACUCACUGUAGCCUAUGUAGGCCUCAAAACUUGUGUACCUCUACUUCAGCCUCACAUUUAGAUGGGAGUACAGUCCCGAGCUAAUAGGUCCAGCUUAGUGUCACUCUUAUUUAUUAGAGCACAUGUAUGCAGGUGUGUUCUUGUGUCUGAAAGCCAGAGGCCAGUGGCGUUUCCUAUUUCUAUCUACUUUGUUUCUUGGGACAGAUUUUCGAGGGCUCACUGACUUUUCUAGGUUGCCCGGCCAGCAAGCUUUAGGAAUGCUCCUGCCUCCACCUCCCCAGCCUCUUGUUUACAAGUCUGUGACUGUGCCAGGGUUCUGACUUUAGUGUUGGGUAUCCACAUUCAGGUUCUCAUCAUGGUCUUUUAACAAAGAGCCUUACCAACUGACCCAUCUUCCUAGCCCAAAGUGUAUCUUCUUUUAAAUAAGCAAACAAUUGGAUGGCACAGUACCAAAGCUUGGGCUGAGAAUCAAAUAUUCUCUAUUGCAUCAAAGCCAGUGGCCAUACCUCCCAUCCAAGAAGGCACAGUGCACAUGAAGUCUCAGUGGAAUGGGAAGGAUGAAGGUGUAGAAGGGACAUGAGACUGAGAAAAUGUGGAGACUGCCUUCCCCAAUCUUAGAGAAAACCUGGGGAAGUCAGAGAAGAUGGGACAGGAAAUCACACUUACAGGAAGCAGAGAUGUGUUUGAAGUAAGCACUAUUGAAAUCCAAGGCCCCUAAGGAAGACUGGUGUGAUGUCCUGAGUAACACCCCAGGAAAUGGGGAGAGAAGAAUGGUAGCUAGCAGAAGAAAACAAGGUAAAGCAAGGAAAGACCACGCGAGGGGCAUGAGGCUGGGUGCCAAGAGGCAGCAGAAGAUGCCAGGACAGAAAACCUUACAGUCUGUGCCUGAGGUGGCCGUGCCGAGGCCAGAUGUGAAGCAAAAGGAAUCAUCUGGUGGGCAAUGGUUCAGGAAAGUCUUAGAUUUACCCUUUUCCUUCUGAAAUUUUAAUAAAUUUAGUCUUUGAAUUGAGUGGACAAAGCAUAGAUAAACAGGACAAAAACUUAACAGUUGUCAACAUGUCUAAGUAUGGGAGUCACAGAAAAAGUGUGUGACCCAAAGGAGACAGUAGCUGGUCAUUAAAGAGAGAUAAACAAAGGGACAUUGUUGGGGCUGCUGGGAGUAGGACAUAUGCUAUGAGAGGUGGACAGCCUCUAGGGUUGUCUUGUGAGGAAGAUAAGUCCCCCAGCCAGCCACAUGUGGUCAUCUCUAACUGGGCCAGGUGUUGGAUCUCCACUCUUCUUACUGUUGGAAAAAAAUCUUUGCUAUGAUAAGAAGCUGUGAUUGCCCUAGAGGUGUUUAGAGUUCCUUUUACAAAAGGAUAGCUCUUCAGAGUUCUUCCUGCAUCUGCCGAGAGAUCUGGUAUUACAAUAGGCAUUUGGAAACACGUCAAACAAACAUGUUUCCAGUAAACAUGACAACAUAGUCUGGUCCUUCUCAGUGUCUGGACCCUCUGAAAGGAAGCACACUAUCGCCCAAACAGGGAGCAUCACCUCCCAGGAGCCUUGUGGAGCAGAGGGUCCAGGUUGUAUGCUCACCUCAUCUGACUAGAAGUAGGGAGAGGAGGAACCUGGCUCUCUGCUGUGGGGAAACAAUGAAUAUUGUUGACUCCAAACUGGAAUAUUCUUAGGCUGUGCUUAGAGCCUGCUUCUAUAGACAGGAGGUCUCAUGAACUGGUGUAAUUUUUUACAGACACACAUUAUGUUUACCAACAAAUUUUAAUGAUACUCUCUACCCACUCUUUUUUUUUAAAUUUUAAAUGUAUUUGUAUGAGCAUAUGCCACGUGUAUGAAGGUACCCAUAGACUCUAAAAGAGCUCAAUCCCCUGGAGCUGGAGUUUAAGAUGGUUGUGAGUCAAGUCACCCAACCACCUAUUCUGAUAUUCAGUCAUGGAUCCCGUUGGCCAGUGGUAGCCGGUAGUUUUUUUUUUUAAUCAAAUUAAUUUAUUUUUAUGUAUAUGGGUGAUUUGCCUGCAUGUACGUUUAUGUCUGAGUACCGCAUUUAUUCCUGGUGGCCAUGGAAGCCAAAAGACGGCAUCAGAGCCACUGAAAUUAUAGUUACAGACAGUUAUGAGUUGUCAUAUGGGUGACAGGAACUGAACUUAGGUCCUGUGCAAGGUUAGCAGGCACUUUUAACCCCUGAGCUUCUGUCUAGUCCCUAGCUGGGUUUUAGGAUGACUAAAUUCCCGAUGUUAUCAUCCCAAUCUACCUGGAAGGGAGCUGACAAGUGUCUAGAAUAGCAUGUGGGACCCAAAUAGUUUGGCCUUCAUUAGUUUUCAGAAAAAAAUAUAAAAUAAAAAAACUUAUCUUAAAAAAAUGAAACUGAGCAUGCAAAUUACCAAUGUACUUGUGAUGGAAAGAACAAGAAAAGCCACCAGUGUGCCACGCUUCUGAUUCAUUGUCACUUUACCAACAGUGAGACACACACGAGGACACAACUGUACAAACACAAUAUGUGAUUUUGCGGAAGUAUAACUAUUAUACUCACUAAGCUAGGCAUAACUUUAUUUCAGCACCUAAUGUAUAUACUGAAGCACAUCAGUAGCAAUGAAAAUCAUUUUCUUUACUUGUCCAAGAUAGUUUACCACUACUAGCCAUGUUACAACUGUCAUCUUGAGCCUGAAUACUACAAAAAAAAAAAAGAAAAAGAAAAAGAAAAAGAAAAAGAAAAAGAAAAAGAAAAAGAAAACAAUCACCCCUGCUCCAAAAAUAAAACAGGGGGAAAAAGCACUAACAAACAUAGUUGAACAGUUACUUUCCAGUUUUGCUUUAUGAAGAUAUAUUUGCUAGAGUAGGAAGAAAACUAUAAUUUCACUCAACAAUUAGCAUUUAUAGCAUUAACAUGUUAGGCAUGGAGAACGUGCCUUUUCAUUCUGCCGACCUCACAAAUGGUACAAAUGGACAGGAUGAUUCAGAACUAAUAAAAGAUACAGGAUGCAGCGUGCCUGUACUUUACAGCAAAGAUCAAGAAGAAUGGACAGAGGCCAAGAAGCCCUGUCCAGCACUAUGAAAGCCAGCCAGCAUGAAGGAAGCUUGUAAGGUGGAAUUGGUUUGAUUUCUCUAAGUCCUGUGGCCAAAGUAAAUGUUAUCUUCAGCAAUUGGGUCUUACCAUCAAGUUAUUGCAGAAAAACAAGAACAAUGGCAAAAGCUUGUAUAUUUCGGGGACAAUCUCUGAACAAAACUGGAGAGAAGAUAUGUCACGCCGGUCUUGUGUCUGGCUUCUGGGAGGAGCAUUAUGCUCUGUAUAAUAUAAGUCCAAUUAAACUCUAUUUAAAAGAA